AGUGAACGCUGGCGGUAGGCCUAACACAUGCAAGUCGAACGGCAGCACAGUAAGAGCUUGCUCUUACGGGUGGCGAGUGGCGGACGGGUGAGGAAUACAUCGGAAUCUACUUUUUCGUGGGGGAUAACGUAGGGAAACUUACGCUAAUACCGCAUACGACCUACGGGUGAAAGCAGGGGAUCUUCGGACCUUGCGCGAUUGAAUGAGCCGAUGUCGGAUUAGCUAGUUGGCGGGGUAAAGGCCCACCAAGGCGACGAUCCGUAGCUGGUCUGAGAGGAUGAUCGGCCACACCGGAACUGAGACACGGACCAGACUCCUACGGGAGGCAGCAGUGGGGAAUAUGAGACAAUGGGCGCAAGCCUGAUCCAGCCAGACCGCGUGGGUGAAGAAGGCCUUCGGGUUGUGAAGCCCGUUUGUUGGGAGAGAAAAGCAGCAGGUUAAUACCCCGCUGUUCUGACGGUACCCAAAGAAGAAGCACCGGCUAACUUCGUG
rnacentral:rRNA from 1 species